rnacentral:rRNA from 1 species
UACGAAGGGUGCAAGCGUUACUCGGAAUUACUGGGCGUAAAGCGUGCAUAGGUGGUUUGUUAAGUCUGCUGUGAAAGCCCCGGGCUCAACCUGGGAAUGGCAGUGGAUACUGGCAAGCUGGAGUGCGGUAGAGGGUAGUGGAAUUCCCGGUGUAGCGGUGAAAUGCGUAGAGAUCGGGAGGAACACCAGUGGCGAAGGCGGCUACCUGGACCAGCACUGACACUGAGGCACGAAAGCGUGGGGAGCAAACAGG